ensembl:lncRNA
GUUUUAUAAAAUACAUUUAUGUUCCUGCCUUUUUGUUCUAUAUAUGAUGAGUCAUUGUGAGCAGGAAUGUGCCUUUUUAUGCUUUGUGAGCCCAAUCAUGGUCGCUUCUCAUCUUUUCCUCCUCAUUCUAUUCCUUCCUUCCUCUUCCUGACCUCACUCAUGAAAAUUUAUAAACCUGCAGCUCCAUCUUCGUUUAGCGUACAAAUAUAUAGUCAAAGGCUGUGCUGAAACAUAAAUUAAUCAGAUUUGAUGCUGUUUUGAGUGGAUGAGUCUUGAUUUAAUUUUUAAUUGAAGCAUUGGCAAGUCCCAAAUAAAAACAAAGCAAUCAUACUUAUGACAAGCUAAUUAGAUCAGUUGAACAAUAUUUUAUGCCAAGUGUCAAUUUCUAACAUAAAAUGUAUGAUGAAUGUGCAUAGUUGAAUUAAAUCAAAAUAUCAAUCCUACAAGUGCAAAAACCCAAGCAAAUUGAAACUGGAGCAUAAAAUAACACACUCACGUCAUGUGUAACUAUUUUACAUUUUAGCAAAUCGGUGGCUAAUUUGAAUUGAAUUCAUACAGUCUCAUUUGUACAAUCUUGUGCAGUUUGCGUGAAGGUUAGGUCUAGGGGUAGAUCUUUCAGUCCUAGAAACACACAUUUUUAAAGUUACGUAAUGUUUCCAUUAUCAUUUUCCAUUGUUGUGGCAGCAUUGAAAAAGCAUGAUGCAUGAUCUGAGUCAAACAGCAGCCAGAUGUUCUCUUGUGCUGGACAUAAACAGAAUGAGGGUGGACUCUGGUUUGUGUUUUUGAUCCACUCUGUCUUGGUCAUAAACAGGUGUGAGCUCUUGUUCUCCUCUUAAUUACGGUGGAGCUUUGAUGUCAGAAGGUUUUAUUAUUUCUAAUUAUUUCAGCCGGCACUUACACCUUGAGGAACCAGAUGGGCUUCGGCACAAUUCCACACAAUGAAAUGCUUUUAUUGAUCUCGACAUGAGAAACACUCCAAAUGGUUUCUUCUGUUCUUUUUAUUAUUUGCUGCCAUGACAGACACAUUGAACAAAGCAAACAAACCCAGCAAGGGAAUACGAUUUCACUCUCAGUACAUCAAACAGGAGGUGAUAGGGCAGAACGCUUGCAUGCGAGUGUGUGUGUCUUUGUGUUUUUUGUGUUUGAGAACUUCAAGGCCAGAGGACGGAAACUACUGAAUGGGCAAAGCAUAUUCUAUAAUGCAGGGUUGAGAAGGUUCAUCUCACAGGAUCAUGAAAAUCCCAUUUGUGCUUCUUGAAGCAAUAAUGACUCAUGUAGUAAAAACAUAUGGAGCUCUCAGAGAAGAUUUUUAAUGCUCUUGAUAUGUUUGCACUGCAUGAUUGGAUGCCUUCCAGGAACUGGAGAGGUUGAGCAGAUGUAAAAACUACUGAGACCAACUAAAGCCGGCGAUCUUAAGAGCAACUCCUCUUGUAGGUAGAUUUCACCAUGUGUUUAGAUCAAUUCAUUGUUUUUAUGAACUCACAGUUAUAAUAUGCUGCACUCACAUCAUGUCAGAAUUACCAUAAAUUCAAUGUUGUUAUUUUCUUCAAUAAAUAACUUUAACAUUUUUUUUUUAAAUAACCGUUUAUUCCUGUGAUGCAAAGCUGUAUUUUCAGCAUCAUUACUCCAGUCUUAAGUCUCAUAUGAUGCUUCAGAAAUCAUUCUAAUAUGCUGAUUUACUGCUCAAGAAACAUUUAUUAUCAAUACUGAAAACAGUUUUACUGUUUCAUAUUUUUGUGGAAACUGUGAUACUUUUUUUUUUCUUCUUUUUUUUUCAGAAUCAAUAGAAAGAACACCAUCAGUUUAAUGGAUCCUUGCUGAAUAAAAGUAUUAAUGUUUUUUUAUUAAAAAAAAAUAUAAUAAAAUCUUUCUGACCUAUAGUACUAUAAUAGUAUUAUAGUAGUAUUUUGCUAGUACAAUUUUUCUAAACUGUGUUAAAUAUUUAGCUGUCAUCAGUAACAAAAUCACAGGAAUUAAUUUAGAAUGUUGCUAAUAAUUCUGAAAUUACAUGAAUGUUGCUGAACACUGUGUUUAUGUUUUUCCAGGAUCUAUAAUAUAAUGUCAGAUGACAAUAUUAUACAUUCAGUUCUGAUAUUGCACUCAGAAGUCUGUUAUAACUUCAUUCAUGCUGCCUCAGCCGGGUGACGUUUACCACAGUGCCAAUUCUAUACGGCCUUUUUCUGUUUCUGUUGGAAACCCUUAUUCAGAGAACUUUACAGCCUGUUAUAACUGUCUCUUCCACCUCACAGUGUGGAAAGAAAGAGAAAAUGCUGUUUUUCAGGAGCUGUGUAGGUACAGCGGAAGUGAAAGAGAAUGGCUAACACAUCUGAUGUAAAGGCGAAUCCAUUACCAUCCUUCCCAGAGUCGUUUUUGAAAAGCCUCCAGAGACCACAAGGUUAGUUUUUAAAGUUCAGCUUCUGCUCCUGUCGGUUGUCCACUGCAUCAGCAAGAGCUCCAAAGCACACAUGGGCAAUAAGCAUUAAAAUGAGUGAAGAAAAG